rnacentral:rRNA from 1 species
UGCCAGCACCCCGAGUGGUCGGGACGAUUAUUGGGCCUAAAGCAUCCGUAGCCGGUUCUACAAGUCUUCCGUUAAAUCCACCUGCUUAACAGAUGGGCUGCGGAGGGUACUAUGGAGCUAGGAGGCGGGAGAGGCAAGCGGUACUUAGUGGGUAGGGGUAAAAUCCGUUGAUCCAUUGAAGACCACCAGUGGCGAAGGCGGCUUGCCAGAACGCACUCGACGGUGAGGGAUGAAAGCUGGGGGAGCAAACCGG